UUUUAUAUGUUUUCAUCCUUGUAGCAAGAAAGUAUAUUAGUGAGAUAAAUAUGCUAUGUCCUUGACUUGGUUAAAGACGUGUGGUCCCUCUACAGCUGUUUGAAUACUACUACUACUACUGAUAGAAAUAUUUGGUCCUUAAAUUUCAUCUUUGGGACUCACUGUUAAAAAAGAAGUGUGGCAAGUGUGGUGUGGGGUCUUUUGACCUGGACAGUCAAUCUUGUAGUUUGCUGUCAGUUUCUAUACACGCUUACACUGUUUCAUUGGACGGACUCUACUGAAAAAGAGUUUUCCAUCUGAAUACCUCAUUAUUUGAAAAUCUGUAAAAAAGCUGGUUUCUGGACUUGAAGAAUGGCCACAUAAUAUUUCUCCAAUUUGUCCUCUGCCUUUUUGUCCAGUCCUGUCACACAUAUACUGGAUAGCAUUUCUCUCUUGUCUCUCCACCUGUGCUUGUGCAUGUAUCAGGAUAACUUUUGAACAGCAUAUGUCAUUCAUUCAAAAAUACUCUAGGUGUUCUAACGGGAAACCUAUACAACUGAGGGGCAAGGGAGGGAGAAAAAAAAAGAAACCUGAGUGGAAAGAAAAUGAGCCCUUGAAGGGCACCUCAGGAAUCCCUGCAACAGUUCAGAAGUCUAGCAAUUCUUUGACGGGACCCAUAAUUAAAAUAGCGACAGCUUUCUCUUGUACCUGCUAAUUUCCAAUAGAGUUAGUACAUUCACAAUAUAAACAUCCUAAAUUAUUUAUUCGCAAAUAAUUAAUGACAGAGAAAAGGGUAUUCUGGGGCAGAGGAAAGCUGGGACUGUGAAAUUUUGCAAAGUGGUGUUAACAUGGAAUGGGAAGGAAUAGAACGACUGGAGAUCCCAUUACGAAAUGAAAAGGAUGCCAAGGAAAAGAGACAUUGUAAACUCUCAGAUUUUUUUAUGAAAGGAAAGAGUAAAGGAGCCCAAUGGAUGCUAAAGGGGAAAAAUAAGUAGAUGGAGGAUACUGAAUGAGAUGAUCACAACAGCAUCAAUAUAGUAUGGAAUAUAAAUCCUUAGUACAGGAGAUGGGUAAAAUGAGGGACAAGACAAAGACAGAUAGCACAGCAUCUGAAGAGCCUGAAGUGAAUCCAUGAAACAGAGGGGACGAGAGGUUUACCCACAUGAAGCUGGAGAGUGAAAUAUGUGGUAUGUAGCAUAACACUUAACAAUACUCUUAAUGCCCUUUUCCCUCUGUUCUCUUGUUCUUGUUCCUCCCUGAUCCACCUUGAUCCCUCCCUUACUCCACCAUUGUUCCUUUUCUUAAGCAUCCCGUAAGAAGUCUUGCACAUUCUCACAAUCCCCUUAAAACAGCCCAUAACAAGUUUCAUACUAUUCUUUUCCCUUUGCAUCUCAGGUGAUCGAGGUGUGGAGCAGCUGCUUUACAGGAUGAGACUAAAAAGGCAGAGGCACUUCAAAUGGGAUGGGAGAUUGCAGAAGAUCAAGGUUUGCAAAACAAUGAAGAAAGUGGAUAAGAUAAACAGAGAACUAUUUUUCACCAAACCCCACAUUACCAGGACUAGGGAGGAUUCAAUGAAACUGUUUGUCUUUCUUUCCUUGCCUUUGACUACUGAAGUUCAGAUCCUAUAUGGUCUGAAAGAAGCAGCGAUACCUGCAGAGUUAGUGAAAAAGGGAAUUCACAAGUGAAAUCCGACGAGUGAAGGCAAGAGAUUUCAGUAGAGGAAAAUCCCUGGGGCUUUGCUUUCCCUUUGCCAAGAGGAAGAACCAGAAUAUCUGUUUCCAUUUGCAAACUGGAAACUCCUUUGUUAUGUUCCAUCCCUUAAAGGAAGAAAUAAUAAUGCUUCCCUGGACUUUCCUAAAGAAAGAAAAACACCUGCUAAGAGAAAA